rnacentral:rRNA from 1 species
GAUGAACGCUGGCGGCGUGCCUAAUACAUGCAAGUCGAGCGAACAGACGAGGAGCUUGCUCCUCUGACGUUAGCGGCGGACGGGUGAGUAACACGUGGAUAACCUACCUAUAAGACUGGGAUAACUUCGGGAAACCGGAGCUAAUACCGGAUAAUAUAUUGAACCGCAUGGUUCAAUAGUGAAAGACGGUUUUGCUGUCACUUAUAGAUGGAUCCGCGCCGCAUUAGCUAGUUGGUAAGGUAACGGCUUACCAAGGCAACGAUGCGUAGCCGACCUGAGAGGGUGAUCGGCCACACUGGAACUGAGACACGGUCCAGACUCCUACGGGAGGCAGCAGUAGGGAAUCUUCCGCAAUGGGCGAAAGCCUGACGGAGCAACGCCGCGUGAGUGAUGAAGGUCUUCGGAUCGUAAAACUCUGUUAUUAGGGAAGAACAAAUGUGUAAGUAACUAUGCACGUCUUGACGGUACCGAAGCAGAAAGCCACGGCUAACUACGG